rnacentral:rRNA from 1 species
AUUGAACGCUGGCGGCAUGCCUUACACAUGCAAGUCGAACGGUAACGGGUUAAGCUGACGAGUGGCGAACGGGUGAGUAAUGUAUCGGAACGUGCCCAGUCGUGGGGGAUAACUGCUCGAAAGAGCAGCUAAUACCGCAUACGACCUGAGGGUGAAAGCGGGGGAUCGCAAGACCUCGCGCGAUUGGAGCGGCCGAUAUCAGAUUAGGUAGUUGGUGAGGUAAAGGCUCACCAAGCCGACGAUCUGUAGCCGGUCUGAGAGGACGACCAGCCACACUGGGACUGAGACACGGCCCAGACUCCUACGGGAGGCAGCAGUGGGGAAUUUUGGACAAAGGGCGCAAGCCUGAUCCAGCCAUGCCGCGUGCGGGAAGAAGGCCUUCGGGUUGUAAACCGCUUUUGUCAGGGAAGAAAAGGUUCUGGCUAAUACCUGGGACUCAUGACGGUACCUGAAGAAUAAGCACCGGCUAACUACGUG